GAUGAACGCUGGCGGCGUGCUUAAUACAUGCAAGUAGAACGGUAAGGCCCUGCUCUUGCUGGGUGCUCGAGAGGCGCACACGUGUGUAUAACGUGUGUAUACUCUCCCUGGCAGUGGGGUAACUUUAGGGAAAAGGGUCUAAAAUCGGACAGAAGCUCAUGCUGUACGGGGUGGGUAGUUAAGUUGCGGCGUUUGGGGACGGACGUGCGGACUUUCAUCUUGUUGGUGGGGUAGUGGCUUACCAAGGCAUUGAGGGGUCGCCGGCCUGAGAGGGUGACCGGCCACAGUGGGACUGAGAUACGGCCCAGACUCCUACGGGAGGCAGAAGUGGGGAAUAUUGCACAAUGGGCGGAAGCCUGAUGCAGCAACGCCGCGUGCGGGAUGACGGCCUUCGGGUUGUAAACCGCUUUCGCCUGUGACGAAGCGUGAGUGACGGUAAUGGGUAAAGAAGCACCGGCUAACUACGUG
rnacentral:rRNA from 1 species